CUCCUACAACUAAAAAGAAAGAAAGAAAGACAAUUGUUUCGUGCGACAUUCGUUCGGUGUCGCCGGGCCCUCCCCACUUGCGAUCCCGCGUGCCGCAAUCGACGUCCUGCCCACGCUCGUGUGAAUUAAAACACUACGUACCGUCGCACAUUCCUCAUCCGGUGUCGUUGCCCUUCCUUCGACCACAAGGAGGACAGCUACGAGUGAACUGCAGGCCAUGGACAUGCGGCAUGGCCCUGGGGCUGCGAUGGAGGCACGGAUGCGGCUGUCUGUCCGAAGAUCUCCGCCUGAGCGAAUCCAACUGCUCUCUAUUUUUUCUCUGGUUUGGAUCUGGUGUAGACGGUAGUGGUGAGAUGUGAUUCUUUUUGCUUGCUUUUUCUCUUUCUACAAAUUUUAAUUGUAGAUGAAUAUUUCGUGGGUUCUUAAAUGUUCAUCUCUACCACUAAUUCUUUAUAGUUGCAGGAGAAAGAGCUUUCUCCUCCAUGCCAGCUAGAGCACGCCGUUGCAUUCUUUAGAAAAUCACCAAUUCAGUUUGAUGUCUUAGCGAAAACUUACGCCAUCCUGAUCUCUGGGUUGGCUAUUGUUGUGAAGCCAGAGAAGGCUCAGAAGCUGUUUGAUGAAAUGAUUGAGAAAGGGGUCGAGCGUUGUGUGUCUGCCUAUAUUGUGCAGAUUAAAAGGAUGGAUGCUGCACCUAUAUAGGAGCAACUAAAAGAACUUCAGAAGGGGAUCAGUCCCAUGUGGAGGGUGAUGCAGACGACGACUCGGUCGUAGUGUUCAGGGCCCCUGAUUUGUGGUUGACUGCCAUCUAUGGAGACAGUGUGCGAGACCUCACAAGUCGAAAGGUCUACGACAAGCAGUGUGGCCUAUAUUGUCAUGGAUUCUCAGAUGCUGUAAAGCUACAUGCUUUUUAUUGUGAUAUAAUUUGCCUUUCACCACUCCUGAUUUAAGCAACACAUUGUAAGGAAUUCUUAGAUGAUCUCUUCAAGGAAAUACAUACAUCUGGGAAGCUAAGAGGUUGAGUAAGAGCAAAUUGAAAAUACUGUGAUUGGCCAAUUUUGGGAUGAUAAAUUUUGUUCA